GCUCCUGCCCUGCUGCAGCCUCAGGCAGCGCUGCCCAGGGCCAGAGGAAGAUGAAGGUGGCUGUGCUCAGCGUGGCCCUGCUCCUCUCCAUCCUGCUGUGCCCCCCGGCUCAGGCCAAGGCACUCCUGGAAGGAACUCAAAAUGAUCUGCGGGAGAUUGAUGUAGACGACGUUGCCAUCCUGAACACGCCUCUGCCCCCUGUGGCUGAAAAGCUGGCAGGCCUUUUGCGGCAGAAG